ACUGUUUGCUGAUGGCUCAGAGUGAACGCUGGCGGCGUGCCUAACACAUGCAAGUCGAACGAGAACGGAUAUAAGUUUACUUAUAUUGUCAGCUAAGUGGCGCACGGGUGAGUAAUAUAUAGUUAAUCUGCCCUGAAGAAGAGAAUAAUUGUUGGAAACGACUUGUAAUGCUCUAUAUGCCUUUAUCACAUAAGUGAGCAAGGGAAAUAUUUAUAGCUUCGGGAUGAGACUGUACGGUAUCAGCUAGUUGGUGAGGUAAUGGCUCACCAAGGCUAUGACAUCUAACUGGUUUGAGAGGGUGAUCAGUCACACUAGAACUGAGACACAGUCCAGACUCCUACGGGAGGCAGCAGUGGGGAAUAUUGCACAAUGGAGGAAACUCUGAUGCAGCAACGCCGCGUGGAGGAUGACACAUUUCGGUGCGUAAACUCCUUUUAUUAGGGAAGAUAAUGACGGUACCUAAUGAAUAAGCACCGGCUAACUCCGUGCCAGCAGCCGCGGUAAUACGGGGGGUGCAAGCGUUACUCGGAAUCACUGGGCGUAAAGAGCAUGUAGGCUGAUUAGUAAGUUGGAAGUGAAAUCCUAUGGCUCAA
rnacentral:rRNA from 1 species